rnacentral:rRNA from 1 species
GACGAACGCUGGCGGCGUGCCUAAUACAUGGAAGUCGAACGCAGUGGGGACGGGUGAGUAACAAGUGGGUAACCUCCCAUCAGAGGGGAUAACACUUGGAAACAGGUGCUAAACCGAUACUGAUGGAUGGAACCGCGGUGCAUUAGCUAGUUGGUGAGGUAACGGCUCACCAAGGCCACGAUGCAUAGCCAACGUUAAGAUAUGUGCGGCCACACUGGGGCGGAGACACGGCCCAAACUCCUACGGGUGGCAGCAGUCGGGGUUCUUCAGCGCUAGACUAAAGUCUGCCCGAGCAACGCGGCGUGAGUGAAGAAGUUUUUCUGUUCGUCACACUCUGUUGUUAGAGAAGCGGUAUCUAACCAGAAAGCCACGGCUAACUACGUGCCAGCAGCCGCGGUAAUAC